ACCUACGGGGGGCAGCAGUGAGGAAUAUUGGUCAAUGGGCUUACGCCUGAACCAGCCAAGUCGCGUGAGGGAAGACUGCCCUAUGGGUUGUAAACCUCUUUUGUCAGGGAGCAACGCCGGCUACGUGUAGCCGGACUGAGAGUACCUGAAGAAAAAGCAUCGGCUAACUCCGUGCCAGCAGCCGCGGUAAUACGGAGGAUGCGAGCGUUAUCCGGAUUUAUUGGGUUUAAAGGGUGCGUAGGCUGAAUGUCAAGUCAGCGGUAAAAAUUCCGGGCUCAACCCGGUCGUGCCGUUGAAACUGGCGU
rnacentral:rRNA from 1 species